AGGCCUAGGACUUUAACCUGGAGGGACUGCUGCAGAGAGGACUGGGGCUCCCCAGAAAAAGGAGUGAAGGAUACCGUUUCUACAUAACUAACGUAUCUGUACAGAAAUCUGCUUACCACCCAAACAUUGUGGGAGAAUUCUAAUAGAGUAUUUAGUUUUUUAUUAAGCUUUUUAAAAAAUUACCUUUCAACACAGUUGCUCAGGGAUUACAUCAGGUGGGAACCCCAUUCUGACUCCACAGAUCACUACAAAGAAGUUAAUGCUUGUCUUAAGCCGAAGGGACAGCACUCUUCAAGCUUCCUUCAGAAAGUGAAAUGUUUGGUGAUUUUACUACAGUACAACCUAAGCUGCUUUUCCAGUUGGCAAACUCUCCAACAUGAAGACUCCAGUCUGCACAGACUAGCCUCCAACAAGCAGCUGGACUUCAGUUAGCAGCCCUGCGUCCUGCCGGUGUUUAUCUUCUCUGUAACCAUGGCCACGACACCCGGGACAAGUUUCAUUACCAGUCCCCUGUGAGAGCCUUUGCUCUCUUGUAACAGAAUUCCAAAACACAGCAACAUAUUUACUGUGACACAAUCCUUGUCUGCAGCUACCUACCAGGACCUGUUUGGAACUGUGGCCAUGCAUCUAAGAUGCCAUUCCUUGAGCACAUAAGCUAGACUAUACCUGUGAGGAAACAAUUUUAUAUCGAUUGCUGUAGUGUAGAAAAAUAAGAAGUGGAUUUGGACUUGCACUCUAAUCUCUCUGAUCUCAAACAUAAGAAACAGUUCUUGUAUAUAAUGCUCAAAAAUUACUUUUGACUAUUAAGUCCAUAAAAACCUGAAUCUUGUAUAC
rnacentral:lncRNA from 1 species